UAAUUAAAAUGGGAAAAAAUCAUAGCACACUUUUCAGGGCACCGCCAUUGAUAUGCUGAUGAGACUGAAAAUCGUCCUGCGAGGCGAGGAACUCGGCACUCGGAACUCGCAACUGGGAGCAGGAGGGGAUCGGAGGGGCCUGACAUUGAAGUGACUGCCUUCAAAAUAGUGGGUGAGCAGCAUGUGCGUAGCCGCGGCGGCAGGAAGCUGCCAGAUUUUGCAUGGAGGAUGUGUGCGGGCGAAAUUGAAAAUGCCGCCUGGCUACAGAUUCCCCUCGAAGCGAAAGGAAACACAAUAUUUGUUCGGAUUAAGUCCCACACACACUGGCACCAUGCAGUUGAAAAGUUAAGGAAACUUAAAAGGAUUCAGCUCUCUACAAGAAUCCUGGUUACUAAGGAUAAUCCGCCUGUUUGAUAGACACUGUGCACCUUCAUUUGGCAGCGUCAAAUCAACACACACACACACACGCAAGUGUGAGAAUGAGCGUGUGUGCGAGAGUUGAUUUUCAAUCGAAGCAGCAGUCAACGGCCCACUUUUCCGGCACACUUCUCUGCCCCUGCAGGAAUGGAACCCCAAAAACCCCUUGGAAAAAACUUAUUUGCCAAGUUUUGCGGUUUUUGAGGUUGACAUGUUGCCGUUUAUGUGACCCAAAGAAGUGAGCAGCUGCUCGACAGCCAUCGCUGAUUAUGAUGAGACCGAGACAGGCCGUUCGGAA